rnacentral:misc_RNA from 1 species
CGAAAACGCAGCUAUCUUUUGGGUCUAUAGAAUUUCAAUGAAUGAAUUCAUUGAAACCUCAUAGAAAUGAGUUCAUUGGCAUACAUUAAUUAAUUUCAAUCAUCCAAGGAUUCCAUACUACAUUAGUUGCCUUGCAUUCAUUAAUCAGAUUCUCCUGAAUCCAACAAAAUCCUAGCCGUUUGAUCUUUAGUUUUCCCAAGUGGCCCCACAUUAAUUAUUGGCAAUCGCGUUACAUUUAUUUUCUAUCUUUGACCUAUCAUCCCUUUGAUUUUUCAUUUUUCUCAAUAAAUAUGAGUUUCUGAGUUGAUCUUCACAUCUGCAGCAUGCGAUCGCCUACACUGG